AACGAACGCUGGCGGCGUGCCUAAUACAUGCAAGUCGCGCGUGAAAUCCCGAGCAAUCGGGAGAGUAAAGCGGCAAACGGGUGAGUAACACGUAAGCAAUCUUCCUUCAAGUCUGGGAUAACCCUGCCAACGCGGGGCUAAUACCUGAUGUAAUUCCUGAACCGCAUGGUUUAGGUAUUAAAGAUGACCUCUACCUGUAAGUUAUCGAUUGGAGAUGAGCUUGCGGCCCAUUAGCUAGUUGGCGGGGUAAUGGCCCACCAAGGCUGUGAUGGGUAUCCGGCCUGAGAGGGUGUACGGACACAUUGGGACUGAGAUACGGCCCAGACUCCUACGGGUGGCUG
rnacentral:rRNA from 1 species